GACGAACGCUGGCGGCGUGCUUAACACAUGCAAGUCGAACGCUGAAGCUCAGCUUUUGUUGGGUGGAUGAGUGGCGAACGGGUGAGUAACACGUGAGUAACCUGCCUCCUUCUUUGGGAUAACGCCCGGAAACGGGUGCUAAUACUGGAUAUUCACUGGUCUUCGCAUGGGGGUUGGUGGAAAGGGUUUUUCUGGUGGGGGAUGGGCUCGCGGCCUAUCAGCUUGUUGGUGGGGUGAUGGCCUACCAAGGCUUUGACGGGUAGCCGGCCUGAGAGGGUGACCGGUCACAUUGGGACGGAGAUACGGCCCAGACUCCUACGGGGGGCGGCAGUGGGGACUAUUGCACAAUGGGCGCAAGCCUGAUGCAGCGACGCCGCGUGAGGGAUGGAGGCCUUCGGGUUGUGAAACUCUUUCGCUCAUGGUCAAGCCGCAACAAUGGUUGUGGUGAGGGUAGUGGGUAAAGAAGCGCCGGCUAACUACGUG
rnacentral:rRNA from 1 species